UGCACACGAGGUGGAUCACUGGUGAACACACCGUACAAAACAUUGAAUAAUGGCGUGUUCACACUUUUGAAGUGGUCAUGUCUAACUGCUUCUUUUCAGGUAAUAAAAAGAAUCAUAAAGCUCUGAUGCAUGAGCUGCUUGGACACUUUUGAGAUAUGUUCAGAUUGUUCAACAAGGAUAUCACAGUGAACUAGACUCCAACAACUUGUGAAAUUUAAUGAAUCUAUUCAACUAGUGUCAGCCACGUCCAUAAAUAAUUUAAUAAGAAACCAUCAUCCAUGAAGGGGAAUGCAAGUCAAACAAUCAGAGAGGAACAGACCGGACCAAGGUCAACAUUAUGGGUUUUUCUCCUGGCUGGAUAGAGCAGAAAUGAAGUCCCCAGUUAGGAACUGAGAUCAGACGGUGAACAACAAAGAGCCCUGAGGUCUAUCUUAUGGAAUUGUGACAGCCUGCCCAGGAUAGCACUCUUGGCCACAACAAAGGGCUAUUCUUGUGAUUUGAGCUCAGGGAUGGGAAAUUCAAGUUUGGAAAAAUAGAAGACUAUGAAAGUUGGUCAGUCUGUGUUUGUUUUAUUGGGAUAUUUAAUCCCUUAACACUGAGUGGCAGAAGCAAAGAAAUGCCACAGAUUUUUAAUUAUUCAACUUAUAGUUAUGUGUUAACGAAAGGCAAGAUUGACAGACUGGUUUUGUAUUUGCUGGUUCUUAACUACAAGAGCUUUUUGAUGUAAUGACAUUCUCUUCAAUAGUACAUGAUAAAUAAAGCAAUAAGCAAUCAAGAAGCCAUGAGAAUGCUACUUUACCAUUUUUCAG